ACGCACUCCGAGGAGCAGCCAAGCGCAUCGAUGUUAACAUAGUUGAAUAUACUGCGACGGAGAACGUCAACUUUGAAGCUAUCGCUGAAGCUCUACAAAAUGGACGACACUACGUAUUGUUUAUGGAGUUGUCAGAAAACUCGAACAA